AUUAUUGACAAUAGAGCAUUGGCAGUAUGUGGAACAUUGACAAUAGAUAGAACCUUGACAGUAUGACACAGAAGCAGACAAGAGAGCAGUUUAAUGGAAGCAAAAGGCUCAGCAGGGAGUAGAAGGCCAUGAUCCAUAAACAUGAGAAGUCCCCACCUUGGAUCUGAGACUCAAAUGGGCCCUCCAUCAACUUCUAGGACAGCAAUAGAGAAUCCCGCCUCUAGCCUGCACAGCAGCCCUUUAUCUCACCACAGUCAGCAGGCUUGCUUUUCAAGGACAGAGGCCAUUGCAGUCCCAGAAGUAAUUGAUAGCUCCAUGCUUCCUUCCACUGCAGCAAUUUCGAAGAUGGCACAGGGCUGAUGAUGUUUGCAGGACUAAAGUUCAGGGGGUUGGCCCAGGCCAACAAUUGAUUGCUUUUUGAUAUUCCUUCUCCUCUGAUACUUAAGCUGGGAGAAGGGAAGGGAAACCAUCUGCCCUCAGUGGCUGCUCAGACAAAUUAAACUAAUUAAAACAGUGUCUGGCGCCAGGCAAUGGUUUCUUGGUUGCACACUGCCACCUACUGGCUGUUUGAGCCAAGACACCAGCAGCCCACCUGCUCUGAUGGAGGCCACUCAUGACUGUACAACCCCGCUCUGUCAACAAGGCCAAAUGUUGCUCUUCAUCUGCCUCUGGGCUGUCCGGUUGCAUCGCCACAUCUUCCUGUGGGCAGGUCGCCACCAAACUCUCCGUGACUGAUGCAGGAGCCUCUAUGCUCAUCACCAGAAUCACUGUCCUCAUCAUGGUCUGAAAUUCAGAUGGAUUUUACACCACAAAUAAAAAUGAAUUCAAAUGGCUCAGCUCCCCGAGAAGGAGCACAGGUGCUAUGAUGUAAUGCUUGUGCAUCUGUACACAGCCAAGGAGGGGUGAGUUACUGCAGUCGGCUUUGAUAUCCUGGAGGAGGAGAAAGAGCAGGAGUCAGAUUUGUACUUGGAGGACCUUCUGUGGUGCUGCUGAGGUGCCCUUUAUAUUAAUAAAAGAUCACACUCCCAGCA